CCAGUGGAACAAGAACCAAGAGAAAAUAUGGCACCCUCACCUUCCUCUAUCCUCACCACAUAGCUCUCCUGCCUGGUCCUGGCUGCUGAAAUAUGCACACCACAAGCUUCCACUUAAGCCCACUUCCUUCUGCUCAGAGGAUGUCCCAUAAAAAGCUGUCCUUCCAGUCUUUCAAUACUGAACUCAAUAUAAUGCAACUUCUGGGAAGCUUUGGAUUUCAAAUGUGUUUGUCCCACUUCCCAGGCUUCCCAGCUGCCCAGCUGUUGUGUUCCAUUUAAGCUAAUCACAAAGAUUAAGGCAAAGACCCAGCCUGGAAGAUUGCAAACAGCUCCAGACUACUUCUGCAAAUAGCUUUUACAGACAGCAGUCCUGCACAAAAGCACAGGGGCUAACAAACCUGUGGCAUGCAUGCAGGGAAUUCCCAGGAAAGCUCAGUUCUAACACAUCCCAGCCAUUACCAGUCAUUGGCUUACUGACACUGCAAACCCCAGAGACCACUGGACAACAGGAUCCUCGAGGGGCAAGUUCAUGGUGGCAGUGAGGAUGAGAAAAAGUCCAUGAUGCAUCCCAGAGCAGAUGGAUCCCAUUGUCCCUUGUUAGCACAGAAGGCUUGCAGAGUCAGGCUGCAUGGCCAGCCCAAGCAGAAGGAAGCCCAGAAUCAUUCCCACUAGACCCUCAUAUCCUCAGCUGCAAGCAGUAGCUGCUGAUCAGAACUGCGCACAAGCAGAUUGACUCCAGAAUUGAAGCCUUCAAUCUCUCACAGCCAGGAGACUCCAGGCAAACAUGACAGAUAAAGCCACCCCACAUCUGUCCAGCUGCAUGCUGAGGUUUCCACAGCCACCCACUAAGCAAGCCCUGUCAAAGUAAACAGGUCAUCCUCCUCUUGAGGGAUUGCUCUGAACCCCCAGCCCAUCUGCAGCCCCAUGUUUGUCCCCAAAUUAAGGAAGUAGCUUGCAGCUGGCUGUGCUAGGACAGAAGGAGGCCCGGUUGACUGCAGCGUGCAAUGGACAGUUAACAAACGUGACCCUUCCCAGAAGUUCAGCAUCAAGUCCCACCUGAUGGGUGGGUGUGAGGAAGAUCUGAGAGAGAAGACAGAUGCUCCUGUAAGAGGGGAUUGUGGCUGAAAUGUGAUCUUCUCCCUGAGCAUGGUGGGAAGGCUCCUGCCAGUAUUGCUGCUUCUGAGGGAAGGAAGACAUUUUCCAGGACAGUUUGCCUGCAAGAGCAUGGCAGGAGGCUGCAGCUGCCCUGAUGCUCAUGAGAUUUGGGAACACAGGAUGGCUCCUGCCAGAUGUGUCAACACCGGGGAAGGAGCGGAGCACACAGCCCAUGUACUGUGCAGCAAAAAGACCUGACCAAACUUGCUUCAGCUCCAGGCACACUGCACAGAGUGAUCUGUCCUCUCCUUCCCUUCCCUGCCACAAGCCCCCUCCACCCACCCCAGUAUCAGCACAGCACAAGCGGGGGGGGGGAUUUGCCAGCAGGCUUAUAUGGCUGCAGGCAUUUGGCAUCACUGCAGCUGUUCCAGCACCUUGUUUUCUGCCAGCACAUGGUUUUGAAGGCAAACUGCAAUGCUCAUACUGCAGCAAAGCACAAAGCUCAGGCUAAGCAUGGCUGCUUCUCGCAGGACGUAGAGUGAGCAAGGCCAGCAACAGCUCUGAAAGCAGUGAUCUGAAAGGCCUGGGUGCAGGAGCCUGCUGACUGUCCUAUCUGAGCACCGUGGCUAGAGUAAAUCCUAUCCAUCCCUUCCCAGCACAGUGUGGCCUCCCAGCCAUGACAACCUCAGGCUUCUGUUGAUAAUGCAAACAGGACAUAUUGACUCCAAAACUCAAAUUCAUUUAACCAGAAAACACUGAUGAGACCUCCAGAGGGGAGAUUUUGAGACAAAUAAUUUAAUUACUUUCAAUGAGGAGCACAAGUAGGGGCAAAAACAGGGAAAAGUACUUUCAAUUUUCCUCUGUUGUUGUUUGGGAAAAUAAACAUAUUCCUGAAAGGCAGGUGGCAUAAAAGCAGGGGCUUUCCAGCCACAAAAGCUGCCAGAGGAUCACUGGGAUCCCUGUACAGAUCAGGGGACCCAAGGGACCACUUUUUGUCUUCAACCAUGACAAGAGGGUGAAUGCUUCUGCUUAGGAGGAUAAGCAAGCAUCCAGAAAAUUUCAGGAACAUGAUGAAGCACAGAGAAACUUUUUGGGUGAAUAACUGUCCACAAUGAGGCGCAAGUAAAUAAAAAAAGGAGCAAGGGGAGCAGCACAGACACUCGAUUUCACAACUCUGUGAUGUAGUGGCAGUGGUCAUUGAGCAGAGGGAAACUGCAGUGAUUGUACAGAUUGCUUUUUUCCUUUCUGGUUUCUCCAGAGCUACAGCUGCCAGUCUUUUGGCACCUCCACCACAAAACCAGGGUGUAUAUCGUUUCAGAAAAAUUCCCUCACACUGGCACCUCCUGAUUUAUUAUCACAGAAGCCCUGAGUGGCUGUGUCCUGCUGGAGUAAAACUCUGGCUGCAGUGACACUGUCAGAAUGUCACUGUGUGCACUGAAAAAAUUGCAUGCAUGCUCCUUCACAUGCUUCCAAGCCAGACCAGACAGAGCUGAGCAAAAUGCACAGGGGACAGAAGGGCCAGGAACUGUUGCUGAGGACUGUGGGAUGAGGCAGUACUGGCUGCAGACGACGAGGGGGCUUCUCCAGACCAGGGUGGCUGAGAAACCUGGUGGCCUUCCCAUGCAUUCUUUGUCAGCUCAUCCAGACCUGGCAGCAGCCCCUCCUCACAGCCUUUCCCAUGGCUCAUGGCUGUGCCAGCCCAAAGCAUUUACAGAUGCUCUUCCAAACAGCUCUGUUAAUUUCCUCUUUCGUUUGGAACUGGUAGAAAAAAAAUAUUGAGAUGAGUCUGAAUCUAGAAGGAAAUGCUGAGAUUUAUCUGAGCGUUUCCGACACCCCAGGCUGUGAGUUCCAAUUAUCUUUACCAGGCCCCAGACCCUUGUGCCUCAGGUAGGCCUAUGCUACCAUCUGCUUUCCCCCAGACUCAGACAAGCACUGGGAGCAGAGCAGGAACCCCAGCAGUCAUUUUCUCCAGCUUUUCCUCAUUCAUCUUUCAGCUCCUUUGUGUUGAAACCAUUUACAGCUAAUGACUUCUCCUGUUUCUUCUUCUUUGCCCAGGGAGGUGGUGGAGUCGCCAUCCCUGGCAGUGUUCAGGAGGUGUCAGGAUGAGGAGCUACAAGAUAUGGUUUACUAGCCUGUGGUAGCAAUGGUAAUGGGAGGACACUUGGACUAGAUGAUCUUGUAGUCCUUUCCAACCUUGUGAUUCUAUGAUUCCUGCCCCCUUUAAUAUGUUCACAAACUCAUCCAGGCUGGAGGGGACCUCAGGAGGUCUCUAGUCCAACCUUCUUCACAAAGCAGUGGCAGUGAUGGCAUCAAACCAGGCUGCUCAGCAUUUUGCACACCUGGGUCCACCAGCUCCUCUGUUCCUAAGAAUCUCUGGGCGAUGACCAGAUCAGUACCAGCUCCUUGUUUCUGCAUUGCCCCAAAACUCCAGGACAAAGAUGUGCAGCAGAAUUUUUGCAGAUGUGGAAAAGAAACAGAUUCCCCAGCUCUUCUGAUGUCUGGCAGGAAUGGAGCAGCUACAGGAUGCAUUUCUACAGAUUCACUCACAGAGCCUACAGCCAGAGGGAGCCAUCGGAUCAGCUUCUCACACCUCCUGCAGAACUGCAGGCUGGAGCCCAGUUGAGAGCCGUGCAGUUGCCUCCUCUGUGUAAUUUUAUAACCCUUUCCUUGCCUCUUGGAGCCAAUAGAUAUCAUCUCUCUGUGUGCCUGAUGUGCAUGAAGGAUGCUUUGUGCCAAGGGGAUGCAGAUGCCUCAGCAGGGAAUCUGGCAGAGCAUCACCUGAGAACACCAGAGAAAUUCCAGUUGUGUAACAAAUAAAUAUCACUGUUGCUAAAAGCCAUCAGCACUCUUUCAGGACUAUUGUGUACAAUUCAUCUGGGCUGCUUCUUUUGAAAUAUUUGUCUGUAGUGUACACCAUCCGCUCUUGUGCCUGAUAAACUGGAUAGCAUUUUACAGCUCACAUGCAUUUUCUCAAACAGUGGAUACAGAUACUGCCUUCCUGUAGUAUCUUUGCUCAACAGAAAACAGCGAACAGAUCAACAGCAUUUGCAUUUUUCCUGGAAAGAGACUUGUAUCAGAAGCAUGGUUAUAUAUAGAAUUCAUAGAAUUGCUCAGUUGGAAAACACCUUCAAGAUCAUCAAGUCCAACCUCAACCUAACCAUGCAACCCAAACUCUAACACCCCACCACUAAAUCAUGUCCCUGAGCACCACAUCCAAAUGGUUUUUCAACAAAUCAAGCCUGGGGCAUCUGGUACAAGAAAGAUGCAGAGCUCUUGGAACAGGUACAGAAGAGGGCCUAUAAGAUAUCAGAGGGCUGAAGCACCUCUCCUAUGAGGAAGGUUGAGGGAAGUGGGCUUGUUUGGUUUGGAGAAGAGAAGUCUCCCGGGAGACCUCAUUGUGGACUUUCAGUACUCAAAGGGAGCAUAUUAACAGGAGGGGGAAUGGCUGUUUACAAGGGUGGAUUGUGAUAGGACAGGGGGGAAUGGUUUUUAAACUGAAACGGGAUGUUUAGGUGAGAUAUUAGGAGGAAGUUUUUUCACCCAGAGGGUGGUGACGCAUGGGAACAGGCUGCCCAAGGAGGUUUGUGGAUGCCCCAUCCCUGGAGGCAUUCAAGGCCAGGCUGGAUGUGGCUCUGGGCAGCCUGGUCUGGUGGUUGGUGACCCUGCCUGUGGCAGGAGGGACUGAAAAGAGAUGAUUUGUGAGGUCCUUUUCAAUCCAGGCCAUUCUAUGAUUCUAUGAUAGUGACUGACUAGCACACUCCCUGGGGAGCUAUUCCAGUGCUUAACAUCCCUUUCUGUAAAGAAGUUUUCCUGAUAUCCAGUGUAAACCUCCCCUGGUGCAACUUGAGGCCAUUUCCCCUCGUCCUGUUACGUCACCAGUGAGAAGAGCCAACCCCGCUCUCGCUGCAAUCGCCUUUCAGGUAUUUGAAGAGAGCAAUAGGGUCUCCCCUCAGCCUCCUCUUCCCCAGACUAAGCAGCCCCAAUUCCUUCAGUCGCACCUCAUAGGCCAUAUUCUUCAAGCCCUUCACAAGCCUUGCUGCCACCCUUCUUUGGACCUCUCAUGAAUACAAACCACAACACUAGUUAUCAGCCUCAGAAAUACGAUUUAUUUUAUCUUCUUAGUCUGAGGAACGGCCCAGCAGAAAGUGGAGAAGGCAUUCUUCUGGAAGAACCCCCUUUUUCCCCACAACUCAUGCACCCAUGCUUUGAGGGUUGAGGGGUUUCUCCAUCCCACUUCCCACAGGUAAAACCACAGGACGGCAUGAGAGUGUUCUCAUUCAGUACCCCUCUCCUGAGCAGAGAAACGCCUACUUCAAAUGGAUGAGAUACUGCUACAUACAGCUUUCUCCCAGAACGUCAGGAAAAGUACCCCGUUCAUCCACGCCAGUCCUCUUCCAUGCCACUCCUCUUACAGCACGGGAGACAGCCUGCCUGCUCUUGUGCCUUUAAGACAAAACCAUAGAGGAGCGUCCAGCAUUCCUGAACCACUUAGCCCUUCAAGACACCCUCACUGUCACCCGUAUCCUCGGAUAACUGCUCAUUGCUCAUGCCAAUAUUAAACACCACCUCCAGCACAGC
ensembl:lncRNA